GUGAAUCAUCGAAUUUUUGAACGCAAAUUGCACUCUCCUCUGAGAGUGUGCCUGUUUGAGGGUCAGCCUAUAAAAAUCGACAUCGUAGCUGUUUCGCGGUGGCGUUCGUCGGUAAUUGGGUCAUCUUAAACCUUUUGGUUUAAGCUACUUGAUAUAUUCCUUUUGUUCUCAUGAACGUUUCUAAGAUUUAUUUCUUUACACGUUUAAGGUAUAGAUUUUUAUUAGACGUGGCA
rnacentral:misc_RNA from 1 species